rnacentral:rRNA from 1 species
GACGAACGCUGGCGGCGUGCUUAACACAUGCAAGUCGAGCGGUAAGGCCCUUUCGGGGUACGACGAGCGGCGAACGGGUGAGUAACACGUGGGUGACCUCGCCCUCCAGCUCUGGGAUAAGCCUGGGAAACCGGGUACUAAUACCGGAUAUGACUCCAUGACGCAUGUUGUGGGGUGGAAAGCCUUGUGCGGCUGAGGAUGGGCCCGCGGCCUAUCAGCUUGUUGGUGGGGUGAUGGCCUACCAAGGCGACGACGGGUAGCCGGCCUGAGAGGGCGACCGGCCACACUGGGACUGAGACACGGCCCAGACUCCUACGGGAGGCAGCAGUGGGGAAGUCUUGCGCAAUGGGCGAAAGCCUGACGCAGCGACGCCGCGUGAGGGAUGACGGCCUGGUGUAA